CAGUAGCCACGGGAAUACAGAGGGUGCGAGCGUUAAUCAGAUUUACUGGGCGUAAAGCGUGCGUAGGCGGCUUUUUAAGUCGGAUGUGAAAUCCCUGAGCUUAACUUAGGAAUUGCAUUCGAUACUGGGAAGCUAGAGUAUGGGAGAGGAUGGUAGAAUUCCAGGUGUAGCGGUGAAAUGCGUAGAGAUCUGGAGGAAUACCGAUGGCGAAGGCAGCCAUCUGGCCUAAUACUGACGCUGAGGUACGAAAGCAUGGGGAGCAAACAGGAUUAGAGACCCGCGUAGUCCCUGUCUCUUAUAC
rnacentral:rRNA from 1 species